GACGAACGCUGGCGGCGUGCUUAACACAUGCAAGUCGAACGAUGAACCCGGAGCUUGCUCCGGUGGAUUAGUGGCGAACGGGUGAGUAACACGUGAGUAACCUGCCCUUGACUCUGGGAUAACUGCGGGAAACUGUAGCUAAUACCGGAUACGACCCUCGGCGGCAUCGCCAGGGGGUGGAAAGAAUUUCGGUCAAGGAUGGACUCGCGGCCUAUCAGCUAGUUGGUGAGGUAACGGCUCACCAAGGCGAUGACGGGUAGCCGGCCUGAGAGGGUGACCGGCCACACUGGGACUGAGACACGGCCCAGACUCCUACGGGAGGCAGCAGUGGGGAAUAUUGCACAAUGGGCGCAAGCCUGAUGCAGCAACGCCGCGUGAGGGAUGACGGCCUUCGGGUUGUAACCUCUUUUAGUAGGGAAGAAGCGAAAGUGACGGUACCUGCAGAAAAAGCACCGGCUAACUACGUGCCAGCCGCCGCGGUAA
rnacentral:rRNA from 1 species